rnacentral:rRNA from 1 species
UAAGGAAUAUUGGUCAAUGGACGAAAGUCUGAACCAGCCAUGCCGCGUGAAGGAUGAAGGUCCUCUGGAUUGUAAACUUCUUUUAUCUGGGACGAAAAAAGGGAAUUCUUUCUCACUUGACGGUACCAGAAGAAUAAGCACCGGCUAACUCCGUGCCAGCAGCCGCGGUAAUACGGAGGGUGCAAGCGUUAUCCGGAUUCACUGGGUUUAAAGGGUGCGUAGGUGGGCAGUUAAGUCAGUGGUGAAAUCUCCGGGCUUAACCCGGGAAACUGCCAUUGAUACUAUCUGUCUUGAAUACUCUGGAGGUAAGCGGAAUAUGUCAUGUAGCGGUGAAAUGCUUAGAUAUGACAUAGAACACCGAUUGCGAAGGCAGCUUACUACGGAGUCAUUGACACUGAGGCA